UCCGAGUUGACCCCGGCAGUCUCCUAUGAGUCCCCGGCUUGAACCGCUGGCAACAUAGGACAAGGGUUGCGCUCGUUGCGGGACUUAACCCAACAUCUCACGACACGAGCUGACGACAGCCAUGCAGCACCUGAACCACCGGUCCCUUGCGGGAAGGCUCUAUUUCUAGAGUUGCCCGAUGUUGUCUAGCCCAGGUAAGGUUCUUCGCGUUGCGUCGAAUUAAACCACAUGCUCCACCGCUUGUGCGGGCCCCCGUCAAUUCUUUUGAGUUUUAACCUUGCGGCCGUAGUCCCCAGGCGGGGCACUUAAUGCGUUAGCUGCGGCACUCAGGGGGUCAAUACCCCGAACACCUAGUGCCUAUCGUUUAUGGCGUGGACUAC
rnacentral:misc_RNA from 1 species